AUUGAACGCUGGCGGCAUGCCUUACACAUGCAAGUCGAACGGUAACAGGUCUUCGGAUGCUGACGAGUGGCGAACGGGUGAGUAAUACAUCGGAACGUGCCCGAGAGUGGGGGAUAACGAGGCGAAAGCUUUGCUAAUACCGCAUACGAUCUCAGGAUGAGAGCGGGGGACCUUCGGGCCUCGCGCGAUUGGAGCGGCCGGUGGCAGAUUAGGUAGUUGGUGGGAUAAAAGCUUACCAAGCCGACGAUCUGUAGCUGGUCUGAGAGGACGACCAGACGCACUGGGACUGAGAUACGGCCCAGACUCCUACGGGAGGCAGGAGUGGGGAAGAUUGGACAAUGGGCGAAAGCCUGAUUCAGCAAUGCGGCGUGCAGGAUGAAGGCCUUCUGGUUGGAAACUGCUUUUGUACGGAACGAAAAAGCUUGUCCUAAUACGUGAGGCUCAUGACGGUACCGGAAGAAUAAGCACCGGCUAACUACGUGCCAGCAGCCGCGGUAAAAC
rnacentral:rRNA from 1 species